ACAAGUGUACAAGAAGAAUGCUAGACAGUACAGUGUGUAUGCACGCAAGACUCCCAAAAGCUACAGCUACAUUGGGGAACUACAGACGCUGGUGGUGAGAUGUAGGCUGGAGAGUGACUCUGGAAUGCCCAGGACAAGAACCCUAAGGCCAGAUGACCCACGAAGGCUUGGUUUACUUCCACCUGUACCACCCCCACCAACGGCAGAGCUUGUACAAAGACAAGUCAGGAGAGUACUAGGACCUGAUUUACAGUUGAGUUCACCCCAUUGAAGCCAGAAUUGCAGCAUCCAGUGUGUGCAUAGUAAAAGUCUCCGGCAGAGAGAAGGAUUGGGACCAAUGGCACACCCACCAACAUUAACACUGUCCAUGAAAAUAUGAGUACAUUUGAAUUUAGUUAACCAUCUUACUUUGUCUAGGAUUUAAUUUUAAUUCCUGUAAUGUUUUUUACAGGCUGACUAAAAUUUGUUAUAGUUUUUGCAAGUUUUGUAAA